GUGCCUGCGGGUGCUAUACAUGCAGUCGAGCGGACCGAAAAGAAGCUUGCUUCGAUUCGGUUAGCGGCGGACGGGUGAGUAACACGUGGGCAACCUGCCCUGUAGACGGGGAUAACACCGAGAAAUCGGUGCUAAUACCGGAUAACACGAAAGGCCGCAUGGUCUUUCGUUGAAAGGCGGCGCAAGCUGUCGCUACAGGAUGGGCCCGCGGCGCAUUAGCUAGUUGGUGAGGUAACGGCUCACCAAGGCGACGAUGCGUAGCCGACCUGAGAGGGUGAUCGGCCACACUGGGACUGAGACACGGCCCAGACUCCUACGGGAGGCAGCAGUAGGGAAUCUUCCGCAAUGGACGAAAGUCUGACGGAGCAACGCCGCGUGAGCGAAGAAGGUCUUCGGAUUGUAAAGCUCUGUUGUUAGGGAAGAACAAGUACCGCAGUAACUGGCGGUACCUUGACGGUACCUAACGAGAAAGCCACGGCUAACUACGUGCCAGCAGCCGCGGUAAUACGUAGGUGGCAAGCGUUGUCCGGAAUUAUUGGGCGUAAAGCGCGCGCAGGCGG
rnacentral:rRNA from 1 species